GCACAGGUGACUCCUCCAGGUGUGCCCAGGUGAGCCCAGGAGGAGUGUGGGCACACCUGGCACCCCCAGAACCGCACAGGUGACUCCUCCAGGUGUAUCCAUGUUCAUCCAUCUUUAUCCAGGUGUAUCCAGGUGUGCCCAGGAGGGGCACGGGCACACCUGGCACCCCAAUAAUGGCACAGGUGACUCCUCCAGGUGUAUCCACGUUCAUCCAUCUUUAUCCAGGUGUUUCCAUCUUUAUCCAGGUGUAUCCAGGUGUGCCCAGGUGUGCCCAGGAGGGGCACGGGCACACCUGGCACCCCAAUAAUGGCACAGGUGACUCCUCCAGGUGUGUCCAUCUUUAUCCAGGUGUGCCCAGGUGUGCCCAGGUGUGCCCAGGAGGGGCACGGGCACACCUGGCACCCCCAUAAUGGCACAGGUGACUCCUCCAGGUGUAUCCAUCUUUAUCCAGGUGUAUCCAGGUGUGCUCCAGGUGUGCCCAGGUGUGCCCAGGUGUGCCCAGGUGCGCCCAGGUGCCUCAGGGGGGCGGCAGGAGGGGCACCAGCAGCCGCAGCGCCCCCAGCCCCAGCGCGGCGGCGCCCAGCGCCCGCAGCCCCAGCGCCCCCCAGGGGCCGAGCCCCAGCGCCUGC